CAAAUCACGCCUUAAGAGCUAUUCACAUUCCAAAGCAAUAUGACAGAAUCUAUUUGCAUUUGAACAAUUAUUCUGAUCACAGAGUUACAUAAUGGCGGUGGUACCAGGAUGAAGUAAAGUGAGAAAGAGAGAGAGAGAGAUUUCAAUAACAAAAGUCAUUAUUACUUUCUUGACCCAUAAAAUGUUGAAGAGGAUACCACUUCCUUGUAAAGUAUGUUCAGUACUAGUACUUCAUUUUUCUAUCAAAGAUG
rnacentral:misc_RNA from 1 species